AGAUUUUUUUUAAAGUUAACCGUUCAUACAAAAGCAAUUUCUUUACAGCAAGAGUGUUGUAAUCACUAAGCAAUCCCUUUAACUAAUUGUGAAGACCCAACUAAGCCUACCCCAUUCUUUUUCAUCAUUGAUCAUAUAAACAAUGCUAAAAGCAGUGUGCUUUGUGGGUUUAAUCAUACCGACGUAAAAGACCAUUCAUUCUUCUUUAAUUGUUGCAUGUGGAUUCGGUCGAGUACAUACAACUCAUAGUUUCCAUAUGCAAUUCUAAUUUCCGAUCUUGAUUGUAUGAUUAUUGGUUUCUUUAUUUCUUCGACUGAUUCGAUUUACUUCUGUCCUCCCAGUGACAGAAUCUUUGUGCGAGGUUUUGACGUUUUCAAUUUGUUGACUCGUUUGUUAAGUGGAGAUCUCAAUUCACUACAAUCUCAUCCUUGACUGCAAGAAGGAUUUUGCGAUUCAUGCUGAGCUUUUCUAGAGUUCAAUUGUUCAUUCCAUAUUUACAAUGCCAGCAGUAAGAUAUGAUUUGGGGAAAUUUGAGGAAGAGAAGAGAAGGAUUAGGGUUCGAUGUUUGAAGAAAAAAGCUCUGGUUGCUUCAUCAAGGUUGUCAAACUCCCUCAGAAAACGACGGGUUUCUAAUUGCCAAUUUGCACACAUUUCGAUUGAUGAUGUUCGAGAUGAGGAGGAAGAGAAGGCCGUUAAUGCAUUCCGGCAGGUCUUGAUUGAGAAAGAUUUGCUUCCAUUUUGUCAUGAUGAUUACCACACUUUAUUGAGAUUCUUGAAGGCAAGAAAGUUUGACCUUCAUAAAGCAGUCAACAUGUGGGCAGAUAUGCUCAACUGGCGAAAAGAAUAUGGUGCAGACUCCAUCACACAGGAUUUCAUUUAUGAAGAGUAUGAAGAGGUUCAAGGGUAUUAUCCUCAUGGUUAUCAUGGUGUGGAUAAAGAGGGAAGGCCUGUUUAUAUUGAAAGACUUGGAAAAGUGGAACCGAGUAAGCUUAUGAGUGUGACAACAGUGGAAAGGUUUUUAAGGUAUCAUGUACAAGGCUUUGAGAAAGCUUUUGCUGAAAAAUUUCCAGCAUGUUCUGUUUCAGCAAGAAGACAUAUCGAUUCUUUCACCACAAUAUUGGAUGUUCAUGGCAUGAACUGGAUGAGUUUUGGAAAAGUUGCAAAUGAUUUGGUCAUGCGUAUGCAGAAAAUAGAUGGUGACAACUAUCCUGAGACAUUGCAUCAGAUGUUCAUAGUAAAUGCUGGGAGUGGAUUUAAAUUACUAUGGAAUACAGCAAAAGGGUUUCUUGAUCCAAGAACAACAGCAAAAAUAAACGUUCUUGGUAAUAAAUAUCAGAAUAAGUUGUUGGAAGUUAUAGACUCAAGUCAAUUACCCGAUUUUCUUGGUGGGACAUGUUCAUGUCCAAAUGAAGGUGGAUGUCUUAGGUCAGAUAAAGGACCUUGGCAUGAUUUAGAACUCAUGAAGGUGGUCAACAAUGGAGAUUUGAGGAGAAGUUGUAGCUAUUAUGAGGAUGUUGACUUAGAGGUCAAGUCAAUUGUUUCAGAGACACCAAGCAGUAAAUUUUCAGAUGAUUUAGUAUCUAAUUCAGGAUUCGAUAGAUCAACGUCUCUUAGCCACAAGGACUAUAUAAAUAAUCUUGUAUCUAAUAGCCCUAGAUUUGAACGGAUAGUUUCUAGUACUCAGAUCGACAUUGUUCCUUCAACAGAUGAUUUGAUACAAAGAAGAAGCAUUAAAAAUGUGGUUGAUUUCACUUACAAAGUAGUAGGAUGUAUAUUUUUUCUUGUUGAAUUUGGGAAGUUUUUGGUGGGAUUUAUAAUAAAAAAAUGGUUCAAUUGGCAAGAUAAACAUAAACCACGGUAUGUGGAUGAUUUGAGUCCUCAAAAGGAGGACUUUUUGCAGCCAUUUGAAGAGAAGUUGAAACAAUUAGAAGAGUUGGUGUUAGUGCUUUCUAGCAAACCUUCUAAAAUUCCUCAAGAGAAAGAUGAAAUUCUUGUUGAAUCUUUGAAUCGUAUAAGGUCAAUGGAGUAUGACUUGCAAAAGACAAAGAAAGCCUUAUUUGCUACGGCUUCAAAACAGAUGGAGCUUGAGGAAUCACUCGAGACUUUACGAGAGGGUGCCAUAACAGCGGCAAACUCAUGUUGGGUAAGACGUCCCAAGUCAACUUUACGUGGAACAAGAUGAAGUUUGAAUUCUUGGCUUUUUACAUUUCAAUAUUUCGUUAAAUUUUAGACAAUUUCCACCAUGUUAUUGUUGGAGAUUCGUUGUAUUCAACCAUAAGGAGUGACAACUAAAACUCAAGGAUGUGCUCUUGAUGGUCUUCUGAAUGUGUAAGCGGCGUGGAUGCUUGUUGAUAGAUAGUUUACAUUGUGCAGGGAGUGAGAUAUAUAUAUAAUAGCUCCGUAUAGAAAAAUGAAAAAUAAGAAAACAAAAACAAUAGAAACGGGACGAUUUGUUGUAACUUGUAGUUUGGCUAUAGAUGUAUUUUUUUUUCUUGAAGUGGUUGUUAAUAUAUGUUAAUGGCUUCAAAUUGUUUGAUUUAUUGUGUAAAGGAUUGGUGGUUAAAGUUCACCAAAAGUCAGUCCUGUUAAUGCAGAAAAAUGUCAGCGACCUCUUUGUUGAUUUUGAAAACUUUGAACCCAUGUUGUUUAUCAAGUUACAGAUAAUGAUUAAUGGAUAAAUUUAAGGAAAGUACGUUACUUA